rnacentral:rRNA from 1 species
AUGGCUCAGAUUGAACGCUGGCGGCAGGCUUAACACAUGCAAGUCGAGCGGUAACAGGAGUAGCUUGCUACUCGCUGACGAGCGGCGGACGGGUGAGUAACGCGUAGAAAACUGCCCAGUAGUGGGGGAUAGCCCAGAGAAAUUUGGAUUCAUCCCGCAUCCCCUCUCCGGAGCCACGCAUUUAGGACCUUUCGCUAUCGGAUGUGUCUGCGUGAGAUUAGCUAGUUGGUGAGGUAAAGGCUCACCAAGGCGACGAUCUCUAGCUGGUCUGAGAGGAUGAUCAGCCACACUGGAACUGAGACACGGUCCAGACUCCUACGGGAGGCAGCAGUGGGGAAUAUUGCACAAUGGGCGCAAGCCUGAUGCAGCCAUACCGCGUGUGUGAAGAAGGCUCUAGGGUCGUAAAGCACUUUAAGCAGGGAGGAAGGCUUAAUGGUUAAUAUCCAUUAGGAUUGACGUUACCUGCAGAAUAAGCACCGGCUAACUCCGUGCCAGCAGCCGCGGUAAUACGGAGGGUGCAAGCGUUAAUCGGAAUUACUGGGCGUAAAGCGCGCGUAGGCGGUUUGCUAAGCCAGAUGUGAAAGCCCCGGGCUCAACCUGGGAACUGCAUUUGGAACUGGCAGGCUAGAGUACGGUAGAGGGUGGUAGAAUUUCCUGUGUAGCGGUGAAAUGCGUAGAUAUAGGAAGGAAUACCAGUGGCGAAGGCGGCCACCUGGACUGAUACUGACGCUGAGGUGCGAAAGCGUGGGGAGCGAACAGGAUUAGAUACCCUGGUAGUCCACGCCGUAAACGAUGUCAACUAGCCGUAGGGAUCCUUGAGCCGUGAGUGGCGCAGCUAACGCACUAAGUUGACCGCCUGGGGAGUACGGCCGCAAGGUUAAAACUCAAAUGAAUUGACGGGGGCCCGCACAAGCGGUGGAGCAUGUGGUUUAAUUCGAUGCAACGCGAAGAACCUUACCUGGUCUUGACAUCCUGCGAACUUCUAGGAGAUGGAUUGGUUCCUUCGGGAACUGUGAGACAGGUGCUGCAUGGCUGUCGUCAGCUCGUGUUGUGAAAUGUUGGGUUAAGUCCCGUAACGAGCGCAACCCUUGUCCUUAUUUGCCAGCGAGUUAUGUCGGGAACUUUAAGGAGACUGCCGGUGACAAACCGGAGGAAGGGGGGGACGACAUCAAGUCAUCAUGGCCCUUACGAGCGGGGCUACACACGUGCUACAUUGACCAGGACAAACGGUUGCGACCCCGCGAGGGCAAGCUAAUCUGAGAAACCUGGUCGUAGUCCGGAUCGCAGUCUGCAACUCGACUGCGUGAAGUCGGAAUCGCUAGUAAUCGUGAAUCAGAAUGUCACGGUGAAUACGUUCCCGGGCCUUGUACACACCGCCCGUCA